ensembl:lncRNA
UUUGCUUACAUUUCACCCUCAUAUCUGCCACCACUCCGAACACCCUCCCUUCCACCCCUGCAGUUCUUCAUAAUCUAAUCAGCACUGAUGUAUUUUCAGAGCAAGAAGGCACUGCUUUCCAUUUCAAUCAAAUUCAGCCCUUUCAAAAGAACCCAUAAUGCAAUCGUUCUGUACAAAAUUCAGGCCCAAUUUAAGCCCUAUAGACUGCAGAUGACUGAUAAACACUCCACUUCACUCCACGUCACUCUCCUCCUUGUGGCUUUCCUUUGCUGCAAUGCAUCAUCAUAAAUAAGAGCUAGCUCUGUUCUCUCUCUUUGAGUAUAGUGCAGGCCAACUUUAAAUUGGCUGUAUUAGACAGCGGAAGGAGGGAGGGUGAGGAAAUAAAAAGUUAGAAAUCCUGGCAGGUAGAACAUUUAAACAAAUGUAAUUGGGAGAAACAACAAGUCCCAACUGGGUGGACAGGUCCCAGGAACAGCUUCCCCAUUACCAAGUGAGGGGGAUGGUGGAACAGCGAUCGUUUUGGUGGGGGAGAAGAGGGAGAUUGGGAAGGUUUCGCUUAAUAAACACUUUGCUUUCUGCUGACGAUCAGAGGGGCAGAGCGAGGGAUACAACGACAGAUCGAUAGACUGAUUUGUUCCGGGCUAUCCAUGUUCAUCAGACCGUUCCCCCUCCCUUAGGUAGUGGGCAGAAAGUCUUAGAAAAAAAAAAGAAGAAGAAAAAAAAAACGAAGAGGAAGGGGUGGCGAGAAGGAGUGACUGAAGGGAGGAAAAAGAAAAUAGCAGAAAAACAGCAGGAGAGUUGAUGAGUUACAAUAGCAGACAGACAAAUGAUGAUGGGAUGGAGUAAUGCGUGAAGAAAAUAGCGGCAUGUGGGAGGGAAACUGACUACGAAUGGUGAGAGGAGAAGCAGGAGAGCAUUUGGAUAGGCUGAGGGUCAAGCAUGAAACUAAGUGACUAUAGAGAUGGUAGGAGGGGUUGGCAGUGCGGGGGCGAUGUAGAAAAUAGGAAAUCCCUUUACACACCACUGAAUCAUUUACUCAAAAACCUACCUUAAAUACUUUUCUUUAGCAUCCCCUUUUCUGCAGCUAGAAAAGACAGUCAAACCCAUCAUGUACACCAACUCUAUUCAUCACUAUUCCUGACAGCAAGCUCAGGUUUGUCUGAGCAUUUUAAAAAGAAAAAAACAAAACAACAACUCAGUAUAUCCACUCCCUGCUUAUCUCGCUCUUAGGGCAACUUUAUUCAAGAAGAGAUGAUGAGAGGAGGAGGGGAAACUGUGAGAUAAUAGCACAGCAAUUUUAUGUCUUCUCCACAAAAGCACAAGAGGCCCUGGUGUAUAAUGGCAGCCAGCAAUUGUAUCUGCAAAGAUUUCCAUUGCCAUUACAGCCCUGUUCACAAUUGCAGAAUUUGAUGUCAGUCAAAAACCUAUGGCACUGCAAAUUAUUGCAUGUUCCUUCAAGGAGCUCCGCAAAAAAGAAAAAACAAAAACAAAACAUGUAUUAUUGCACUAUAGUAGAUACAGUUUGAUCAAUGAUUUCACAGUUCAUAACUGAUCCUGCCUUAACCCGUGGCAAUUAGCAAAGAAAUUAAAGAAACAUCACAAAACUGCAGAGUGACAUCAGUGUAUCAUUCAUUAAAAAAGAGAUUAUGAACCUUUUUUAGUGAUCCAUUUCACCUUUACCCCACCGUCAAGCUACAAAUUAGUCCAUAGGGCAGAGUCCUACCAUAUAGUCGUUCUUGUAUGACGUGUGAAAGCUCUGGCAAUACAUAAAUAUCAAAUAUUAUGCAUGAUUUAAAUAUGGUUGGUCUCACCUUUAAGAUGAUCUUUUCUUGCACCUUUGGGCUGCUUUCACUGUCACUAAUAGUUAUCAAUUGGUUCCUGGAAGUUUUUCUG